UUCUCGGCGACUUUUUUCCGAUGUCUCAAGACGGUUUUAGUCAAAUUGAUUUAACUGCUCCGGGUUUCGUCAGCAACCAGGAGUCAUUCCUGUUAAACAGUUUUGACAUAAACCUGUUGAACAUAUCGACUGUUGAGAAGGCGCUGGAUCCAAACGUGCAGCUUAAUGAGCAGCCGAUGGAUCCAAACGUGGAAUCUAAUACGCAACAAGAUCCAUCGCUUCUGAACAUCGCAGGUUCCACGAAUGUUGACGAUAUGAAUGUAAAACGCCUUUUUCUUCGUCGGAAUUCUGGGAACCGUGAACAUUGGAAGGACACUGCAGGUUUGUGGUUACCGUCAGAAAAGUAUAGAGAGGAAAGACAAGAAAGAAGGGAGGCACGUGCUCGUUCGCGACGUAGCCAACGCAAGUAUGUGUCAGUUCAACCAGCGACCCCGUCGAAAGUUGAAAUGACACAGUCGAAAGUGGUUACCGAGAACGAGUCCGAUAAAUCCGACGACUCUCUUGCUUUAAAAGCGCUAUCACAACACUGUAGUACCUGUAAACCGGAAAUAUCUUAAAGCUACUAAGGCUUCUUCUUUUUCUUCUAAAGCUUCGUUGGCUCCUGUUCCCGUUACUAACUCAAAUAUCCCUAACACCGAAAUUCCUUCGUUAAGCCCGAAAGUACACAUCUUAAGGGUGGACAAUAUUCCUGCUACUUCAGAUAUUUCCGAUGUGUCUGCCAGCCUUUUUUCAAACGCAAUGUGUACAGCAGUCGAAACUACCAAAGGGGUGAUUUUAGCCGAAAUUAAUAGCUUAUAUCAAAAUUUUUAUAAAGACCUUCAUGAAAAGGUUCGUCAAUUGCAAACCUCUUUGAGAGAGCUUUCACAGUUUAGAGAAGGGCUGGCGUCGAGCUGUAACAAUUCUUUAACAAUACCGCUCGACAUCACCAACAUCAUUAACCUGUGAAAUUAAAAAGGCUGAAUCUAUUUUAUCUAGUUUCACUACUAAUAGCGUAAACUUCCCUUCCUAGCUUAAAGAUGGCUGCUAACAUAAGAGUUAAUCACAUGAUUAGAUUGUGCGAAUUGGAGCAGAAAGUUGCCGCGUUGGAGGUGAAAUUAGAGGCUCUAUUUAAGUUGCUGCAGAGCGUGUCAGAGUCGGCAGUGGUGAGGGGCGAAAUACAUGUUCAAAACAUGCACAAUAACCACUGCACCACAGCCGUUAGUUCACCGACUCCGGCAAGGACUCCGGCACCAGCAUUAUCAGCCUUAUGAAGAAACGAACCAAAUACUUCAAGAAAAAGAGGAGGAGUGGUAGCUACUCCUUCUCCUCUUUUUAUUAAGUUAAUUAUUAAGUUAAUUAUUAGGUUAAAUUGCUAUUAUU
rnacentral:lncRNA from 1 species